CUGAUAAGCUCUUCAUCAUUGUAAGCCUUCUCAGAUAUCUUCUCAUGGAGUAACUUAGCCUCCGAUUUUGCCAACAUCAUGUUCACCUCAUCUCCUUCAUACCGGAAGGCACUCACAAGAGGAACCAAAAGCUGUUUGGAAAUAGUACGCGUGAAGUAACAACUAAUUGAAUUUAUUUGAGACAUCUAUUUCAUCAUGGAGGUUUUGGUAGAGAACAUAAUUAAAAUACCUAGCAAUCUUUCUUAUCAGUAGAAAGAUCAUAACAAGGUAUACAGAGAUGCAUAGAGUAAACGAGAAUCCGACACAUUGUUUAUGUGGAAGGACCUAUAAGGAAUGAUGCAUGAGCAGUACUUCAUCUUCAAUGCAAAAUUAAUGCACUAAGAUUAAACAGUGUCGUGGAUUAAGCAGUAAUUCCCACUUCUACGACCAUAGUAUAUUGAAAAUCAUCAAGAAUACAACUAAGCACAAAGAUUUAUAGUGGUUCAAAGUCACUGUGAUACCUUCAUCCUGCAGUUUCACUAUAAUGGAGAAGAAUAGUACAAAGUUUUCUCGCUCCCCCUAAAAAUCCUAUAUAUAUAGGUAGGAACGUUAUGCAACCUAAUGCUCGUAGGAAAUACCAAUGUACAUCUGAAUUCAAGAUACACCUAAAGGAUUCUCAUGGGGAACACAAACAUUGAAAUUAAAAUUUAUCACAUUCUGGGAGUUCAAGAUUUACCUUACGGAAGUCUCCAGUUGUGUGAUAUGCAACAUCUUCUUCAAGUGAUUUCUUAUAACGAGCAUGAUAUGCCUGCCUUGCUCUAAAGAGAUCAAAUGGGGAUCUGGUGCAAGCAACUUCCAUUAUAACCCAAUUACUAGCAGUCAACCUCUUUGU
rnacentral:lncRNA from 1 species